CCUACGGGUGACAGCAGUGGGGAAUAUUGGGCAAUGGGCGCAAGCCUGACCCAGCAACGCCGCGUGAAGGAAGAAGGCUUUCGGGUUGUAAACUUCUUUUGUCAGGGACGAAGCAAGUGACGGUACCUGACGAAUAAGCCACGGCUAACUACGUGCCAGCAGCCGCGGUAAUCCGUCGGUCGCAAGCGUUAUCCGGAUUUACUGGGUGUAAGGGUCGUGUAGGCGGGACUGCAAGUCAGAUGUGAAAACCACGGGCUCAACCUGUGGCCUGCAUUUGAAACUGUAGUUCUUGAGUACUGGAGAGGCAGGCGGAAUGCGUAGUGUAGCGGUGAAAUGCGUAGAUAUUAGGAGGAACACCAGUGGCGAAGGCGGUCUGCUGGAGAGCAACUGACGCUGAGGCGCGAAAGCGUGGGGAGCGAACAGGAUUAGAUACCCGUGUAGUC
rnacentral:rRNA from 1 species